CUCUCUCUCUCUCUCUCUCUCUCUCUCUCUCUCUCUCGCCUAAGCUCCAUAGCACCUAGAACAAGACAUGGUCGAGGUUCGAAAGGAUCGUCAGAGAGAAAAAGAGAUGGUAACUUACCCAGUUCUUUCAUAAAAAAGUAUCUGGUGAAAAAGCUGAAUCUUCACAGCGAGGCGGAGAUUUGUGUUCUUUCCAAUUUCUAACAUGAAACUGUUUGAGGAUGCUAGCUAAUGAAGGUGCUGCAGUGUUGUGUUCCUUGCAAUCUCUGACCUGAAACUGUUGAGGAAGCUAGCUAAUGAAGGUGCUA